rnacentral:rRNA from 1 species
UACGAGGGGGGCAAGCGUUAUCCGGAUUCACUGGGUUUAAAGGGUGCGUAGGUGGGCAGGUAAGUCAGUGGUGAAAUCUCCGGGCUUAACCCGGAAACUGCCGUUGAUACUAUCUGUCUUGAAUAUAGUGGAGGUGAGCGGAAUAUGUCAUGUAGCGGUGAAAUGCUUAGAUAUGACAUAGAACACCAAUUGCGAAGGCAGCUCGCUACACUAUCAUUGACACUGAGGCACGAAAGCGUGGGGAUCAAACAGG